CCCUUUUCUUUCCAAUCGUUUCCAUUUCUUCUCCAACUCUUAUAUCCACAUCUCCUUAGGUAGACUGGGGUGUUAUGACCGAGAAGCACAAAGUACUUUACAGGAUAGAUCACUAAUGUUUUCAAAAAGAGCUCAUGCAGAGGAUAGACUUACGUACAGAGGCGGUGGAGCCAAGGCCUAGGUAACUGCACAGUCUGGAUGGUUCUUUUGUCACUGCUGCUCAGCUGACAAUAUCCUAUGACUGAUCAAUUAUUUCUUUCCCAAGCAGUGAAGCUAGUGUCAUCCAAGGGCUUCCAGAAGAGACAGAAGAUAUUUCCUCCCCGGGACCAUGGACCCAAGCGGGAUAUGGAGCAGCACGUGUUCCCGGGUUCCGAGCAAUUUGCUUUCAGCAGGGCUAAUGAGAGCUUCGAGAUCUCUGCAGUCAUCUCCAGAAAGGGCUCAGAGAUACGCGCAGGAAACUGAGACCCAAGUGCCCACGCAUCACAACUUCAUUCAGCAGUGGUCCACCACAGUGCCGCUGCCGUCACGGUCCCCACCCAGGGGAGGGCUGCUCCUAAGGCCAAUGGACUCAGUGCUGCAGUGAAGAUGCAAAGCUUCCGCUCCCUGUACCCAUACCUGGGCCGUUCCAGCUGACCUGGAGCAAAGGAGGCUCUUCUGGGCACUGAUUCUCCCUGAAAGCCGACCAGGUGGAGCUCAUUCCGGCAGGCCUCCUUGCACCCUCACCUCUUUCCUGGUAGGAUCCAGAGAUCUGCCCCGCCUCUCCCGUGGGGGCUGCUGGGUAGGGCCUCUGCUUCCCAUGGAUCACAGUGCAGUUCCCCGCGGCCUCGCCGAGUGUUGUGAGCUCAACAAGUGUUGCGGUAGGGCGCUCAACUCUUCCAAAGGAAGGCCCCACUAGCAUCUUGGAAGCUGCAAAAUAAAGAAAAAAAAAUAGAGAAUUGUCAUAUUGGACUCUCUCAAAAGAAAAAAGAAAAAACAAGAAAGAAAGAAGAGAAAAACAGAAUGGAUACCCACUAUUGACAAAAGAGAAAUUUGGAUGAAAUUCAGGAAUACAGAAUCUAGGAGACAUGAGUUCGAUUGCUGGGUCGGAAAGAGCCCCUGGAGAAGGAAACGGCAACACACUCUAGUAUUCUUGCCUGGGAAAUCCCAUGGACAAGGAACGUGGCUGGCUACAAUUUAUGGAAUCUCAAAACAGUCAGACACAGAUGAGCGAUUAAACAACUCUUAUUUAAGUACUUCUGUCACCUGGAGAUGCUGCUUCCCCUUAGCCUCUGAGUCUUUUAAUAUGUUAUUCCCUCUGCCUGGAACACAGUUUUUGACGGCCAACGAAAUGCCAACAGUUGGCAUUUGAAUCAUUGUGGUGAUUAAUUUUAUGUGUCAUCUUGAUUGGGCUAAGGGGUGCCCAGAUAACCUGUGAAACAUUUCUGGAUAUGUCUGCAAGGAUGUUUCUGAAAGAGAUAAGCACUGAAUUUGUAGACUGAGUAAAGAAAAACACAUUCCCCAGUGUGGGAGGACAUCAGCCAGUUGGUUGAAGACAUGAAUAGAAAAAAAGACUGAGGAAGGGUGAAGUUGCUGUAUGCUUGGACAGCCAUCUUCUUCUUUCUUCAGACAUAGGAGACCCCAUCCUCCAGAAUUUAAAGAAGAAAGUUGAACCCUUCUCACUUUAAGCCUAUCUUAAAAGCUGCUUUUAGAAACUCCAGUGCACACUCACACACCAUUAUAUGUUAUUUUAGGCUGGUGUAAUAAUAAAACUGUCAAUCCUAUGAAUAAGAACUGUUUCUUUACUUGGAUUCUUGCUCAUGUUCGUGUAUAUUUAUGUAUUACUAGAAAAGCAGCAUUCUUAAGAUUUCUUAGAUUGUUUUGAUAAGAUGUGACUCUACUUUUCCCAGCCUUUCUUAUUAUAAGAAUCUUUAACAAGCGCUUUAAACAGUUUUGCACAUGCUACCUUACAUUUUCAUGUGAUGUAAAGUGUAGCAAAAUCCUUUUUUUUCUCCAAAGAAUUUUUCUUAAUAAUAUUUAAAUAAUGUAAGUGUUUCUGCUUUUGUAAUGCUCUCUGUGCAAAUAGAAUAGUUGCCAAUGUUUAUCAUGGGAAG
ensembl:lncRNA